rnacentral:misc_RNA from 1 species
GUACAGCCUUACUAGGUGAAAAAUCCGCUAUGGCCUGCACGGUUGCAGUUGAGACGGUAAUUGUUGAGCACUACAAUGACCAGCUGAGAACUCUAUUGGAGGAUCCAGAAUGUAACAAAGAAUUAAUGGAAGUUAUUACAAAGUUUCGCAAUGAAGAACAAGAACAUCACGAUACAGGCAUUGACCAAGGAGCCGAGCAAGCACCUUAUUAUAAACUACUUUCGGAGGCUAUUAAAUGUGGGUGCAAAACAGCAAUCGCCAUUUCCAAAGUGAUUUAAUGGUCAAAGGGCUACCAAAUAGACAACAAUAUUAUUGUGAAAUUAUUAAUUUAUAAUAAUAAAUAUAUUUUCUUGAGAGGUGAGUGAUGUUAUAAAUGUGCUAUGAAACUAUGCACAAAAAAACCGUGAAAAUUACUACCGGGGAUCUUACCCUCUUAUGACUGGAACAUAAAUAAAAACUUAUCUUUAAUAUUGAGACAGAAAUGAAAAGGGUCUUCUAAAAUUCAGAAAGUACCUGACACCUACGAUGAAUUUACUGAUGCCAUUUAUUUUUCAUUAAUAUUUGAAUAAAGAUUUUUUAAGGCUAUCGAAGACAGUCCUCAAGAAAGUGCACCCUUGGGCGUUACGAGGGUUUUAGGUACACAAAAACGACGCCACGCCGACCGGCCAUUUGUUGUGGCUCUCGAUUUUGGUGGAUUGGUCUGGGGCAUCUCUGCCUCAAGUGGCUGAAAAAUUAGGCCACUGUGGAAAGCGAUUGUGCGCGAUUCAGAUCCCCUCUCCAUUCGCUCGAGUUGCGAGCGAAUGGUAAUUAUGGAGAUUCUCCCGGAACGGAAAUUACUACCCUGUCUCUUCAUAUUGGACAAGUUGGUGGAUGCGCCAAAAAUCAAAAGUAAACGGAACGUUUAUCACGCUGAGGGAUGCCAUAUACUUAUUUAGGGUAAUACCACAGCUUAUAUAUCAUGAUAUUUACGCUGUGGUAAUACUCCCCUGAAAUAGCAUAUUUCCCUUCGUUUAUUGUUUGCCCAGAAUGAACGAAAAAAACAAGCAGCAGCAAGGCACAACAAGCAACGGAAAGAACAAAAAACUAUAAGAACUUAACUAAAAUAGCAAGAACACUAAUUAUAAGUUUUUGGCUCGCUUACCUUUGUCGCGCAUAAUAGGGUCGUUGCACAAAAAAUUUUUUAGGUUGAAACUUCUCCCAAACAUAGCGUGAGGGUUGUUUAGAAGAAUGCCUAAAGCAAAUUUCUAAAAA